CCCCAAGAUGACGAAUGCCUUGUCGUGGCCUUGGGGCUUGAGCUCUGGAUGAAUGUUGAUUGAUUUUCGAUUCAGUCGACAUUCAUCCAGAGACUAAGAUUCAU
rnacentral:ribozyme from 1 species